ensembl:lncRNA
AUGUCCCAGAGGGAGGCUCCAGGGGCAGGGAGGCCCUGGAGGAAGAGAAGCCCUGGAGGGAGGGAGGGAGGGAGGGAGGGAGGCCCAGAAGGAGGGAGGCCCCAGAGGGAGGGACACCCUGGGGUCAAUGCCAGAGGUAUGGAGGAGGGAGGCCCCAAGGUCAAUGUCCCGGAGGGAGGCUCCAGGGGGAGGGAGGCCCUGGAGGGAGGGAAGUCCCAGAGGGAGGGAGGCCCUGGGGUCAAUGUCCCAGAGGGAGGAGGCCCAGAGGGAGGGAGGCCUGGAGAGAGGAGGCUCCAGGGGGAGGGAGGCUCCAGAGAUGCAGAGGCCCUGGGGCCAAUGUCCCAGAGGGAGGGAAGCCCGGAGGAAGGGACACCGGAGCGCCCGCAUCCACACCCAGCGCCACCCGGGCUACGCAGCCUGGAGGGCUGGCAAGCGGGGCGCCCGGGCAGAGGGUCCCACUGUCUGCAGGCGCUGCCUCUGAGCCCCGGGGUCAUGGAUGGUGCCCGCGGCGUUGUCAACAUCAAGCGUCUGCUGAGGGUAGACCCUCCCCGCCGGCAGGUGGCUGUUCCGGGAAGGCAGGGUCCCAGGGUCCUCCGGGUCCCCGGCUGGGUCCUGCCCCCAAGGUGGUGGCCUUCAGAGGUGCACAUCCAUUGGCAGCCCCUGGCCGCGCCCCAGGGCUCCCAGCCUGCCUUCUGCUCAUCUUCCCACGGAUGCCGCACCCCGACCCCAAAUGCGACGACGGCCACAACCAGACUGGGGACAGCUGUCCACACGGCUGCCUCCGGGGCGCCCCGCCCAACCCUGUUCACCCGUGGCUUCCCUCUGCCUCCCGCCCGUCCCGCGGGUCCACCUGCAGGUCCAGGCCGUCCUCCCUCCAGGCGCCCCCCAGAUCCGCCCCCUCCAGGCACCUCCCCCAAGCCCAAGGCCCGGCUGCAGCACCCCACGGGGGGCCCCGGCUUCGGCCCUGCCCCGCCCCCAUGCCCACCUGCCGUCCCUCAGCAGGGAGCACGUCACCGUGACCUCACGGCCUCGAGUGUGACGGAGCUGUGGGGACAGACUCAGCAGGACACGCGGGCCCCUGCCAGCUCCUUGCACACGCUGGGCCUUCCGGCGGCUCCUUGGGCACCUGCCAGGGGCUGUGCCUCCCCCACGCGUCCCACCUACCAGGACGCGCCAAGCAGGGGGUGCCAGGGACGUCCUCCUCCUUCCUGCCAGCAUCUUCCCGGGGCAGUGAGGCCCACCCUGCCGAGCCGGUCUCUCCCUGUCGCCCUGUCGCUCACUCUGAAUCCCGCCCCGUCCCCCGCCUGUGCCCGGCCUCGGGGGCCAGCGCACUGGCAUCUGCCUACUGGGUGCUUCUCCUCCUCUGAUGGCCGCUGCACCUGGACGUCUGGGGCCGUGGGACACACACGAGACACCCCUGAGCUCCAACCACCGGGGAGCGAGUCCCCGAGGGCCGGCUCCAGGCACGGCCAAUGCCCACGGGGCCACCAGCAGCCCGGCCCCCACCCCGCACACGCCCCACCGCCCACCGCGGGGACGUCAGUCGAAGGCCGACUUGGAGGCACGUCUUUACAGGCCAAGGUCCUGAGGUCGUGUGCGCGGCGUGACCCCGCGAGCCAGCAUCAGCCGAACCCUGGCGACCGUGGGAGUGUCACCGCCAGCCCCCGCGGCCUCCUCGGGCCCCAUCCUCUCGCCCUCGCUCCGCUUGGCUGGGGAAGGAUUUUGCCGACCGUCCUUUGGCCACCGUCCACGCAGGGCGUCUGGCAAGUCCGGGCUGCGGCAUCUCAGAGGCCUGGAGCUGACGCUAGAGAGCGGUUCCCUGUCGUGGCUCUCACUGCUGUUUCCUUCUGUCACUCAAAACAAGUGAAAAAAAAGAAAAUCCCUCCAUACGCACCACAAGGUCACGUGCAGCCACAGAAACGCGCCACCCAGCUUAAAACCAAGUCUCAACACCUGAGCUGGGGGCCUCGUAUAAAUAAAUCACCUCCACCAAGCCUGCCCUUCUGCCUUUUUUAUUUUAUUUUUUUUUUACUUUUUCAGUUAACCUGUGUGAUGUGUGGCUGGCACGUGGGCUGCCGCCCGUGCACACAGCCUCAGCACGGCCCUGCUGACGGAGGCCUAGUUGGCUCAGGUGGAGAUGCGGGGCCCAGCGAAGGGCCUGGGCUCGGGCAGCAGGGGCCCUGCCAACCCAGCGAAGCCUGA